AGGAAAAUGACUAACGUGGCUGCAAAUCUGCUGCUCGCAUGGCAUUUUGCUACAGAAGCAGGUCUGCACUGAGCGAUUUAAAGCCAUCUCGGUACAACCGCGACACUUUGGGAGUGCUCUGAAAUGUCCUGGUGUCAGCUCCUUGCCAUACUCCUCUCUGGGCUUAUUACAUGAACAGUACAAAGCUCCCCACAAGCUACACUGCCUUACAGAAGUUACAGAGAUAUCAGGUUGAAGAGCAGCUUUGUCCUCAUUUCUACUCUCGUCCAUCACAUGGAAUCCUGGACUAUUCUCAACUUCUUUCCCACAUACUUUGCCUACUCAAACGCUCCAGGAGGCUGAGAGGAGAAAAAGAACAAGAAAAAAAGAACGACUGAAAAGUUCUGUCAGAAGCAAACAAAGACAACUGGCCAAAAAUGUAGAAAACAAAUGAUCACCGGGUGCCCAAACAUAGUGGCUACAUCUCCAACAUUAUCCCUGUGCCUGAAGUUCAGAGAGCAUCAAAGAAAAUGGGUGGAAAGAUUAUAAGAACCAGAGGACCAGAAAAUCUACUGUGAGACUGUACCUCCUAGAAAUGACAGGAAAGCUAGAUACUUCAACAAUAUGGACAUCUCCUCCUCUCCAACCAAUAGGUAAAGUAUGGAAUAGAAGGGACUGUCUCUCCUCAGCAUAAACAGAGAAGAAUUGAAGGAUCACUCUUCUGCUUCCCAAAAAUGAUGUCUGUGAACAAUCUCUUGGGGGGGGGAGGGAGAUUUGCUGGUAGAGGAGAGCAGGGGACAGAGAGGGCUACAUGAAUAUUUACAUAUAAGAGAAGCCAGUUGGCAGAAAAAGACUAGAAGUGUUUUAUGACCUGUGCUAUGUACCACAAAUAGAGCAUGCCAUGCCCCCAAAUGUAUGCUACACAAAUGCAAGAUUCUAUAUAAAUGAUCUCUCAAGGGUCAUGAAUCUGAUGACCCAGGCCGAGCCUUUAAGAGCAUACAUUUCCUCAGCCCACUGUCACCUCCAGGAACACUUUCCUUUUCUUAGUACACUUUCUCUAUUUAGUCUCUAACCAUUGUCCCUAGUCCAAUGCUCUGUCCUGGGAGUGAGCUGGUACCCUAGGGCUUGGUACACAGAUUUCCACCUACAAGUUCAUAAUGAGUUCCAGGUCAGUCAUGUCUCCAAAGAUCAAAAGAGAAAAUGAAAAGAAAAAAAGGGAGAAGAAAACAUCUGGAAUAUAAAAAGAACGAUUACCAUUGGUUGCCUUCUUCCCCUGCUACAAAACCACAGUCUGUUGAGUGGGUGUAUCUGUAUGUAAAUAUCUGUUUCAAUGCAAUAUCACACAUUUCCAUGAGAAUAUGAAAGAAUGUGUGGUUUAUUUGAAAAUAGAAGAAACACAGAAUGGUUGGGGGGCAGUGGGGACAGUACUUUCUUCUAGAUUCUCACCUAUGGAGUCCUUUUGCUGACUAUUUUAGAACGUUGUUUCUGCAUCUGUUGAUAACUUAUACUAGGAUGAUAUGAUACAUAAAGCUUGUAUUCUACUUUUGUCAUUUUGAAAAAUUGAAACAUUUUUAAUAUAUUGCCCAUUAGGUAUUGUUUAAAAUGCACGUACUCAUUAAAGAUGCAUACAGUGGUAUACGAAUGCUACAUCUUGCAUAAGUAUAACCAUAUCAUUAGCAGUUAGAAAGAUGAAUAAAAAAUGGAGAAGUUUUCUCAAUAAGGAAAAAAUGUUUUAAAAACAAAACAAAACAAAACCUUUUUAGGGCUAGAAAGAUGGCUCAAUGAGUAAAGGUAGUUACCAUGAUGCCAAACAAUCUGAGUUUGAUUCCCAGGACCCACAUUGUAGAUGAAGUGAACUGAUUCUAGCAAGUUGUCCUCUAACAUCUGUGCUUGCUAUGGAAAGCAUACACAUACACCUACACACACACACACACACACACACACACCAAAAAUAAAAUAAGAUUUUAAAUUAUUUUAUACUGUU
rnacentral:lncRNA from 1 species